UACGGAGGGUGCGAGCGUUAAUCGGAAUUACUGGGCGUAAAGCGCACGUAGGCGGUCAGAUAAGUCGGAUGUGAAAGCCCUGGGCUUAACCUGGGAACUGCAUUCGAUACUGUCUGGCUAGAGUAUGGGAGAGGGAAGCGGAAUUUCCGGUGUAGCGGUGAAAUGCGUAGAUAUCGGAAGGAACACCAAUGGCGAAGGCAGCUUCCUGGCCCAAUACUGACGCUCAGGUGCGAAAGCGUGGGGAUCAAACAGG
rnacentral:rRNA from 1 species